CAGUCGCCACGGGAAUACGUAGGUGGCAAGCGUUGUCCGGAAUUAUUGGGCGUAAAGGGCUCGCAGGCGGUUUCUUAAGUCUGAUGUGAAAGCCCCCGGCUCAACCGGGGAGGGUCAUUGGAAACUGGGAAACUUGAGUGCAGAAGAGGAGAGUGGAAUUCCACGUGUAGCGGUGAAAUGUGUAGAGAUGUGGAGGAACACCAGUGGCGAAGGCGACUCUCUGGUCUGUAACUGACGCUGAGGAGCGAAAGCGUGGGGAGCGAACAGGAUUAGAGACCCCAGUAGUCCCUGUCUCUUAUAC
rnacentral:rRNA from 1 species